rnacentral:rRNA from 1 species
AGUGAACGCUGGCGGUAGGCCUAACACAUGCAAGUCGAACGGCAGCACAGUAAGAGCUUGCUCUUACGGGUGGCGAGUGGCGGACGGGUGAGGAAUACAUCGGAAUCUACUUUUUCGUGGGGGAUAACGUAGGGAAACUUACGCUAAUACCGCAUACGACCUACGGGUGAAAGCAGGGGAUCUUCGGACCUUGCGCGAUUGAAUGAGCCGAUGUCGGAUUAGCUAGUUGGCGGGGUAAAGGCCCACCAAGGCGACGAUCCGUAGCUGGUCUGAGAGGAUGAUCAGCCACACUGGAGCUGAGACACGGUCCAGACUCCUACGGGAGGCAGCAGUGGGGAAUAUUGGACAAUGGGCGCAAGCCUGAUCCAGCCAUACCGCGUGGGUGAAGAAGGCCUUCGGGUUGUAAAGCCCUUUUGUUGGGAAAGAAAAGCAGCAGGAUAAUACCCCGCUGUUCUGACGGUACCCAAAGAAUAAGCACCGGCUAACUUCGUG